rnacentral:rRNA from 1 species
UACGUAGGGGGCUAGCGUUGUCCGGAAUCAUUGGGCGUAAAGAGCGUGUAGGCGGCCCGGUAAGUCCGCUGUGAAAGUCGGGGGCUCAACCCUCGAAUGCCGGUGGAUACUGUCGGGCUAGAGUGCGGAAGAGGCGAGUGGAAUUCCUGGUGUAGCGGUGAAAUGCGCAGAUAUCAGGAGGAACACCGAUUGCGAAGGCGGCUCACUGGCCCGGUACUGACGCUGAGGUGCGAAAGCGUGGGGAGCGAACAGG